rfam:Pteropus alecto contig44947, whole genome shotgun sequence.
GUCUACGGCCAUGUCACCCUGAGCAAGCCCGAUCCCGUCUGAUCUCGGAAGCUAAGCAGGGUCGGGCCUGGUUAGGACUUGGAUGGGAGACCACCUAGGAAGGCCAGGUGCUUUAGGCG